ensembl:misc_RNA Metazoa_SRP Metazoan signal recognition particle RNA
GCCAGGUGUGGUGGUGUGUGCCUGUAGUCCCAGCUACUCAGGGGGCUGAGGCAGGAGGAUUUCUUGGGCUCAGUGGUUCUGGGCUGUAGGGUGCUAUGCCAAUGGAUGGGGUGUCUGUGAUAAGUUCCACAUCAAGAUAGUGACCUUCUGGAAUCAGGAGACCACCAGAUUGCCUAAGGUGGGGUGAGCCAGCCCAGGUCAAGAAGGGAACAGGUCAAAACUCCCACACUGGUCAGCAGAUCAGUAGAGGGAUCUGUGUAUAGCCACUGCCCUCCUCCAGCCUGGGCAAAAUAGGAAGACUCUGUCUCUG